UCUUCUGGAUAAGCAAAGAAGGUGGUUUCUUGAGAUAGAAUCUAAUCCUGGUGAAGAUGCUGUGAA
rnacentral:pre_miRNA from 1 species